rnacentral:misc_RNA from 1 species
AACGAGGCCGACCUGCGGCUGAGUUACCUGCGGAGGGAUCAUUAUUGAUUUUAACAGGAUGUGCUGGCUCUCAAGGGGGCAAUGUGCACUCCUAAUAAAACCAAUAUCCACCUGUGCACCUUAAGUAGACUAGUAGGACUCAUCAGAGUCUUUCCAGUCUAUGUUCCUUCACAAACCUUUUGAAAUGUAAUAUGAAUGAUUAUCUGUAUAAUUUAAUAACAACUUUCAACAAUGGAUCUC